GAUGAACGCUGGCGGCGUGCCUAAUACAUGCAAGUCGAGCGAAUGGAUUAAGAGCUUGCUCUUAUGAAGUUAGCGGCGGACGGGUGAGUAACACGUGGGUAACCUGCCCAUAAGACUGGGAUAACUCCGGGAAACCGGGGCUAAUACCGGAUAAUAUUUUGAACGGCAUGGUUCAAAAUGGAAAGUCGGCUUCGGCUGUCACUUAUGGCUGGACCCGCGUCGCAUUAGCUAGUUGGUGAGGUAUCGGCUGACCAAGGCGACGAUGCGUAACCGACCUGAGAGGGUGAUCGGCCACACUGGGACUGGGACACGGCCCAGACUCCUACGGGAGGCAGCAGUAGGGAAUCUUCCGCAAUGGACGAAAGUCUGACGGAGCAACGCCGCGUGAGUGAUGAAGGCUUUCGGGUCGUAAAACUCUGUUGUUAGGGAAGAACAAGUGCUAGUUGAAUAAGCUGGCACCUUGACGGUACCUAACCAGAAAGCCACGGCUAACUACGUGCCAGCCGCCGCCGUAA
rnacentral:rRNA from 1 species